GACAGAGGGUGCAAACGUUGUUCGGAAUUACUGGGCGUAAAGCGUGUGUAGGUGGCUGCGAAAGUCGGAUGUGAAAGCCCUGGGCUCAACUCAGGAAGUGCACCCGAUACUGCGUAGCUCGAGUACCGGAGAGGUUGGUAGAAUUCUCGGUGUAGAGGUGAAAUUCGUAGAUAUCGAGAGGAAUACCUGUGGCGAAGGCGGCCAACUGGACGAGUACUGACACUGAGACACGGAAAGCGUGGGGAGCAAACAGG
rnacentral:rRNA from 1 species